UCUUCUUCACACUUUUCUUACCCCAAAAAAACCCUAAACACAAUCACAACAGCCGCAAAUUUUAAAAACCAAUACAUCGAUUAGUGAUUGAAUUAUGUAUGUUGAAUGAGAAAUUGUUCAUCUCUGUUAUAAAUUGACAAAUUGAGGAUGAUGAUGAUAAAACAGACACAUACGACGAUUUCUCUUUGUUUACAAAGAAGGUGAUUUUGUAACUAGUACUUGUGACACACGUGUCUAUAAUUCAGACUCCACACUUAAGACCUGCUGAGUACAAGAGAUCAAGAUUAUCGAGGAACAGAAGAACUGUUAACCGAGCCUAUGGUGGAGUACUGUCUGUCGGUGCUGUAAGAGAAAGAUUUAGUUUGUUGUGGUGUGCUUCUUUGGAAGUUCAUGGGGACCAGUUACCGCCAAACAUCCAGAAAGGAUAUACAUAUGUUGCUCCGAACCAGGUUGUCUCAUUUGUUGUUCCACACUUUCGUACCCGUCUUCCAAAAACUCUUGUCCUCACAAAGAACGGUUUCAAAGGGGAGGAAUAUAAACCGGUACAUGAGACUUAUGGGAAAGAGAACUGACUCUGUUCUGGCUACAAUUCAAAUAAUUAGAUCCUAAGG